rfam:Populus trichocarpa scaffold_4_contig_154, whole genome shotgun sequence.
UAAUCUAUCUAGGACAAAUCCUCAUCUAGUUAUGGCAGACCCUCACCUGGCUGUCUAGAAUCACCCAUUAUCGCAAGCCCAACUACAUCAUAGGGCAAUCAAGGCUUGAUGAACAAACUUUAAAGCUGUCAUUGUCGAGUAGUUU